UACGAAGGGGGCUAGCGUUGCUCGGAAUCACUGGGCGUAAAGCGCACGUAGGCGGAUCUUUAAGUCAGAGGUGAAAUCCCAAGGCUCAACCUUGGAACUGCCUUUGAUACUGGGGAUCUCGAGUCCGGAAGAGGUUGGUGGAACUGCGAGUGUAGAGGUGAAAUUCGUAGAUAUUCGGAAGAACACCAGUGGCGAAGGCGGCUCACUGGACUGGUAUUGACGCUGAGGUGCGAAAGCGUGGGGAGCAAACAGG
rnacentral:rRNA from 1 species